AAGGGCUACGCGUCUUUGUGGGCGCGGCGGAGCCCGUCGGCGCGCCAUGCCUUCUCCUCUCUCUGGCGCGCUCUUCCCCAGCCUGGUGCUCUUAGAUGCGCUCGGCCGUCACGCUCAGCAAAUCUGGGGACACCGAGCUGGCAAGGGGUGCGUGAUGUCGCGAGCGUGCGGCUCGCGGCCUUCCAGAUGCCUUGGCCCAGGGCGCCCACCAGCCCCAGGCCAACUUAGCCAAUGCUGAGGGAUUAGAGGAACCGCAGGAGAAAACAUCUGGAAGCCCGCAAGUGCGCGCCCCGCUCUGGCUUGAGAAGACGAGUGGGGCGAGGUCCUGCUUGAACCGGCCGUGGCGUGAUGCACUGAGAUUUCGCGACUCUAAUUUCUGCCCCUGUGGAUACAUCGCAUUCCUUCUGUCAGGGAACUUUAAAGGAAGGGGCGGAGUCUGCGCGCGCACAGAAUUUACAGCAUCCGAGACUUUACACUGUCACAUGAUGUUGGACAUUCAAGUGGACGAGACCCAGGAGGAGAGAGACUUCAGAGAAUCCUUCAGAGUCACGGCAUAGAAGGGACUCAACAGCACAACAACGUCCUGAGAACUUGACAGAUGCAAGGCAAUCAGAUCUUGCCAGGGAAGGUCCCCUCUUCUCUUUGUUCAUCCCAGUUAGUGACCUGCAAAAGCCCAACAGGAUUCUUUGAUCAUCGGUCCUAUCUCAACAGUAAAGUGUGUACAGCAGCAGUUCUUUCACAUACAGAUGUUUGCAAUUUCCAUUAAAAAAACACAAGACCGCUAAA